UAAAAUUUUAAAGAUAUUUGAGUUUGAGUAUAAGGUAAUAUGAU
rnacentral:guide_RNA from 1 species